UACGUAGGGUGCGAGCGUUGUCCGGAAUUAUUGGGCGUAAAGAGCUUGUAGGCGGUCUGUCGCGUCUGCUGUGAAAAUCCGGGGCUCAACCCCGGACUUGCAGUGGGUACGGGCAGACUAGAGUGUGGUAGGGGAGACUGGAAUUCCUGGUGUAGCGGUGAAAUGCGCAGAUAUCAGGAGGCAACCCCAUGGCGAAGUCAGGUCUCUGGGCCACUGCUGACGCUGAGAAGCGGAAGGAUGGGGAGCGAACAGG
rnacentral:rRNA from 1 species